CUAUCAUAUUAGGGUAACUAUUAGGGUAACCAUAAAGGGUCCUGGCUUGCGGCGGACACAAAGGUUGAUUUUGAAAUUAUCCAAAGCAACUUUCUCUAGAAGCCGACUGACCAUAAUCACCACUGCGAAGCCCUUGACCACUGUAUGUCGAUGAAGUCUUAUUGAAAUUAUCCGGUCCAUUGUAAGUACGAUUGAACCGAUAGAAACCUUUUUUAGCCAAAUGUCUGAACUGAUUACAAAUCUGACACUACACUCACGAUCGAAAACCACGGCCAUGCGAACGUCCACCACUCACAUCACGCGUCGAACCGGAGUUAGCCACUGCAGCAACCAAGGGUGAGUCAAUAAGAUGGGCUUGCAUCAGAACCUCACGCAUCUCACGCGCCACCCUCAUCUGUCGAUUCUCAAGUUCCAAAAGAACAUCGACCAACCGUUGGAAAGAGAGCCUCUGUCGAGAACACGGCUAAGGUCAGCACACCAUCAAACUCUGACGAAAGACCGACCAAAACAACCUCGACUUUUUCAGCUUCUGACACCGCCGAUCCAGAGGUUGCAAGCAACGCACGCAGGUUUUCUAUUUUUGCAACAGAAUCUCGGACAGUUAACUCACCUUUCUUUAACGAAUGCAAAUCAUGCUUAACGUAAGAAAUUUUCGCACCAGUAGAAGCGGUAAAAAGGUGAUUUACAGGCCAAAUCUCGCAUGCAGACUUAGCAGAGAGAUGCAUCCGAAUUUGGAAGAAGCGUACCUUCUGAAGAUGCGACAAAACGAGGUGGAGCAGCCACUGUACCGUCCAAGAACCCUUGCAGCUCAUAUCCUUCUAUUAUGAGCCGGGCAUGUUACUACCACUAAACAAAGCUUCCCUCCUCUAACUUUACCGUGUCAUGAUGAGGGAACGAUUAAACUAACCGAACACUUGAUCCUGACGAACUCACAGGAUCAGUAGAUUCAGAACCAGUGGAUGGCACCAUACCGCGAAGAACGGAAGCAUGUACCAGGACUUAGGUGACUGAUACCAUGUAAGAAACUAUCAAAUGAGAAGAAAACUAGCUAUAGUGUAAUUCUUUAAUCUUUGCUACUUAGUCUGGAAUGAAUACAUUGAUGAGUUUAUA